ensembl:lncRNA
CUGGAGUGGGCUGCCGUUCCCUUCUCCAGGGGAUCUUCCUGACCCAGGGAUUCAAUCCACGUCUCUUAUAUCCCCUGCUUGACAAGCUGGUUCUUUACCACUAGUGCCAAAGGGAGCCAAGAAGAGGGGGAAUUCCGUGCAUGCCUCCUUACCAAUUAAAUGAAGAAACAGCGUACAGUGCUGGGGUUUGCAUGAGGGUCAGCUGCAUGGCGUAUGAACUGGGGGCAAGAUUUGGCUGGGGAAGCCAACUCAUCCAUGAUACUUGCUGGCUCACUGGUUUGCAGGCCUCACUAGUACACGCUAUGUAUUUAAACCAAAGCAAAGCUUCCAAAAAGCAAUAAUUUGACCUUACAACUUCAUAUUUAGAAACUCGUUGAGUCCAGCUCUCUCCUGCGUAUGUGCUGGUAGCCCACAUGGGCGCCUGUGGUGGUCCAUCCCAGCCUGUGCGUGCGUGCGUGCGUGCGUGUGUGUGUGUGUGUGUGUGUGUGUGUGUGUGUGAAUCUCUCAGUCGUGUCUGACUCUUUGCAAUCUUGUGGACUGUAGCCCACCAGGCUCCUCUGUCCAUGGAAUUCUCUAGCAAGAAUACCGAAAUGGGGAAACCAUUCCCUUCUCCUGAGGAUCUUCCCCACCCAGGGAUUGAACCUGAGUCUCCCGCACUGCAGGCAGAUUCUUUACUGUCUGAGCCACCAGGGAAGCCCCCAUCCCAGCCGAGUUGGUAGGAAUUUCCAGGCAAUCCCGCCACCCCACCAAUCUCCUCUUGUUCUUGGGGGCCUGCAGUUCCUCAGAAGCAGCAAGAGGGUGUUUGUGGCUGGGAUGCUGAGCUCACAACUAGGGGCAGGGUUGUGAGUUGUUUGUCUCGCCCCCUGGAGGGCAGAGGGGCAGAGAAGGGGGCACCCGGUGGGCACAGCCAUCACGGAAAUGACCGGCUCCCACACGCCGUGGUUGUCCUUGGCUCGUGGAACGUUCUCUGAAGCACUGGCUUUCUUCCCCCUCAUCUCAGACUUUGCUUUCUGUUUCCUUUCUGCCACGCUCCUUCUGAAAACGAGAGCGUCUCGUGGAGCCAGGCUCCCUGUGGGGGGCAGUUUGCAGAGCGUCUAGAAUGUGGGAAGCAGGGGGCGGGGUUUCCUUCCAGGCCACGGCUCAGCUGUUUUCUAGUUUAUCCUGUCUUGGGUACCAAACCCUGGCUGGGUCUCUCAUUUUCCAAGCUUGCUGCUUUCCAAACUGCUGUCAGGGAUUAAGGCUUGAGUACAGAAAUGGGUGGAACUUUCGUCCGUCUGUCAGCACGAAUGAGGCCUCUGCUGUAUGGGAGUCUUUGGGAAUGAUGCUGUUGGGUCCACAGCCUGCCUGCCCUCGGGCCUUAGACCGUGGUUCUGUUGCUGAAGCAGACGUGGCCCAGAAGGACUGCUGCUGUUACAGGUUUCCCAACCUGGAGCCGUUUUAGUCCAACCCUUACUAUUUAAUUCUAUUAUUAUUUUUUUAACCGACCAUGUAAAAGCAACGGUUCUCUUUUUUAUGUCUUAAAUUAUGAAAGUAUGAUAACACAUUUACAGGAGACUUGGAAAACGCAAAGUUAUAUAUAGUUCUACCAUGUAUUAAAAUUAUUUUUAAGUAGAUAAAUUGAGAUUUCUUUAGUUGGCAUUUUGAUAUCGUAUUCUCAAGAAUUAAUUGAAUAUACAAAAGUAGAAGCGUAUAGUAGACCUGAAAAGCACCAUGAACCAAUUCAACAUAAUUAAGAUUUAUACAAUUUUCACCCAGUUAAGACACAAAUUUAAACAAUUUAUACAAUUUUCACACCAGUAGGAUACAAAUUCAACUCAAGUUCCCAUAGACGAUUAACCAGAAGAUACUGGAACAUAUCCAGGGGCAUAAAACAAGGUUAAAAGCAGUGGUUCUCUUUUUUUUAAAAAAAAUUUGUGUAAGUGUAGUUGGUUUACAAUAUCAUGUAAGUUUUAGGUAUACAGCACAGCAAUUCAGCUAGAUAUAUGUGUGUGCAUGUGUGUGUGUGUGUAUAUAUAUAUAUGAUGUAUUUACACACAUUUUCAGAUUCUUUUCCUUUAUAGUUUAUUACAUAAUAUUGAGUAUGGCUCCUCGUGCACUGCAGUAGACCCUUGCUGGUUAUCGAUUCUAUACAUAGUAGCGUGCAUUUAAGGAGGGCAUGGCAGCCCGCUGCAGUACUCUCACCUGGAGAGUCCCCAUGGACAGAGGCGCCUGACGGCUGCCGCCCGUGGGGUCGCAAGACAGACACGACCGAGCGCAAGCACAGCGCUGCACGGUGCGUGUAUGUUGAUCCCAAGCUCCUGAUUUAUCCCUCUUCCCACCGCCCUUUCCCCUUUGACAAUCACCUAUAAAAUCAUUUAUAACUUAAAAAAAAUAAAUAAAAGCAGUGGCUGUCAGUGGAGGAGGGAGUUGUCCCCCGGGGACACUGAGCCGUGUCUUGAGGCAUUUCUGUCUGUCCUACUUGCUGGGGGAGGGGCGGGGCCGGGUGGGGCCAGGCGCUCCCGGCGUUGAGCGGGCAGAUGAGGCCAGACGUGCCGCUCAGCAUCCGCGGAGGCACAGAACAGGCCCCACUGCGGAGCCAUCCCACCCGAGAUGCCAGGAGGGCUGAGGUUGAGAGAAUCUGGCUUAAGGAAACAUUAUUUUUAAACGAAAUUGAGUGAACCAGGAUCCCUUCCCAUACAUCCAAAGUAAAUAUGAAAAUAAUGGGCACAUUGAAAUCGAAACCGUGUUUAUAGAUUCCAGGUAGAUGCUCUUGUCUGCCAAGCCUCUGGUUCGGAGGUUAUCUCUCUCUUUAUGACAAAGGGAAGUGUCACAGACAUCCGAAGAAGCACGGGCGGAGCUCUUCUCCUUUCAGGUAAUCAGUUUGGUUAAAAGGGGAUGCAGGGACCUCCCCCAUGCUCCCAUGGUUAAGAAUCCCCUUUGCAGGGGAUGCAGGUUAGAUCCCCGAUCGAGGAGCUGAGAUCCUACAUGCCCCAAGGCAACUAAGCCAGGGAGCCAUAGCUAGAGAGUCCACGUGCUGCAAGGAAACAGCCCAUGUGGCCAUAACUCAGACCUGGCCCAGCUGAAUGAGUAAAUAAAUAUUUUUUUAAAACAAGGAGAAAAAGAGAGAGAAGGUAGAAGACGUCCCUGGAGGUCCAGUGAUUAAGACUCUGCACUCUCCACCGAGGAAGCCAGAGUCGAAAGAGACACGUGCACGCCAGCCCUCACGGCAGCACGGUUUACGAUAGCCAGGGCAUGGAAGCAACCUAGAUGUCCACCGGCAGACGGGUGGGUAAGAAAGCGGUGGUGCACACAUGUGACGGAGUAUUACUCAGCCAUUAAAAAGAAUGCAUUUGAAUCAGUUCUAAUGAGGUGGAUGGAACUGGAGCCUAUUAUACAGAGUGAAGUAAGUCAGAAAAAAAGCACCAGUACAGUAUAUUAAUGCAUAUAUAUGGAAUUUGGAAAGAUGGUAACGAUGACCCUGUAUGCGAGAGAGCAAAAGAGACACAGAUGUAAAG